rnacentral:rRNA from 1 species
GAUGAACGCUGGCGGCGCGCCUAACACAUGCAAGUCGAACGGCACCCACCUCCGGGUGGAAGCGAGUGGCGAACGGGUGAGUAAUACAUCGGAACGUGCCCAGUCGUGGGGGAUAACUACUCGAAAGAGUAGCUAAUACCGCAUACGAUCUGAGGAUGAAAGCGGGGGACCUUCGGGCCUCGCGCGAUUGGAGCGGCCGAUGGCAGAUUAGGUAGUUGGUGGGAUAAAGCUUACCAAGCCGACGAUCAGUAGCCGACCUGAGAGGGUGACCGGCCACAUUGGGACUGAGACACGGCCCAA